ensembl:lncRNA
GGAAUGGACAGCGCCAGAGGACAGGUGAGGGUGUUCACAACACCCUGACACCCUAACAUCCACCAGGCUGUCACCAUCUGUCCCGUUGCUGAGAAAAAGGGAAGCUAGGGAGAUGCUGGAUAGAGAACCCAAGGCACAGAGAGAUGAACUAGCCCAAGGUCACCUGGCAAAUAAGUGGUAGAGCCGACCUAUGAACCCCACAUCCUGGGUCCCAGACGCGAUGGGCACUGGGCUAAGUGCUCAGCACAUCUGUGAAGAUAUACUGUGAUUGAAGAAAGUAGCCCACCUGGGCUGUCAUUUUACUUCCUGCCCCCAGAAAGGUGUGGAAUGAGGGAAGGGGAUGUUAGCUGGUAUGUGUCCAGAGCAGGGCAGGCUUGAGAACAUGCUCUAAUGCCUCUCGUGGAACCUUAACACUCCUUAGCAGAGGUGGCUAGACUUGGAGGUGCAUAGAUGUAGAUGGAAGCAUAUGUGUAUCGUGCUUUGUUAAACUGGAAAAUGCCACAGGAAAUCUGCAGGCAUAAAAUCCAGCUACUGCACACAGACACCUUGAUGGCCAAGGACAGCUGGGAGUCAGAGGUGACUGGCCACUGUGGUCAGUGUCAGCAAGGAGGACAAAGAGUCUGCAUUCAGGAAAAGCAUUUGGGUGACUCUCCUGGCAAAGUGCUCCUGUGGGGCUUGGAUAAUACUGAUGAAUGUGUGCAUUUUGAAAUGAUCAGGAGUCAGUCUGAUAAUCUAUUGCAUGUAAAGAGGCCUUUGGGAGCAACUAACCCUUUCUCUACUGCUAUGAAGUCCAAUCCUUUAUGAGGAGGGGGACCUGGGCCACAUCCCCACAGUCAUUAUCAGCCAUCAUCAUUACCAGGGUAGGUUACCGAUACCUACCAUCAAUACCAGGGUAGGCAUUACCUCAUGACUGCUGACAUGGGGAGCUUGGAUAAAGCUCUGCCUGGGAUAAGACCCAAGUCCCCAUCACUGCCUUCAAGGAUCUUGUGGUCCAUUCCAUUUCACCCUAAGUGCUCAGGGACAUGAUGGACGAAGCAUGGCUUCUGAGUUCAGUAAACCUAUGUGUGGAUCCUGAUUGUACUCUUGGUACCUGUCUGGCUUUAAACAAAUCACUUACCUUUUCUGAGUUUUAGCUUCUCAUCUGUAAAAGGGAUUGUUAAGAAUAUCCCUUUCUCUGGGUUGUUGUGAGAUAUAAUGAAAUAUUCACUAUUAAAUAUCACUAAUAUUCACUAUUAAAAUAAUCAGAUUUCAGGUCCCUUCCUUUCCUAUCCAGUCAUCACUCUCUGGAGGCAAACAAUAACCGAGAUCAGGGAGGGCCUACACUUGGCA